rnacentral:rRNA from 1 species
UGCGUAGGUGGUUGUUUAAGCGUGGGGUGAAAGGCAAUAGCUUAACUAUUGUAAGCCCCGCGAACUGGGCGACUUGAGUGCAGGAGAGGAAAGCGGAAUUCCUAGUGUAGCGGUGAAAUGCGUAGAUAUUAGGAGGAACACCAGUGGCGAAGGCGGCUUUCUGGACUGUAACUGACACUGAGGCACGAAAGCGUGGGGAGCAAACA